rnacentral:rRNA from 1 species
GUAAACGAUGAACACUAGGUGUCGGGGGAAUCGACCCCUUCGGUGUCGUAGCUAACGCGUUAAGUGUUCCGCCUGGGGAGUACGCACGCAAGUGUGAAACUCAAAGGAAUUGACGGGGGCCCGCACAAGCGGUGGAGUAUGUGGUUUAAUUCGAUGCAACGCGAAGAACCUUACCAGGGUUUGACAUCCUGCGAACCUCUUAGAAACAGGAGAGUGCCUUCGGGAAUGCAGUGACAGGUGGUGCAUGGCUGUCGUCAGCUCGUGUCGUGAGAUGUUGGGUUAAGUCCCGCAACGAGCGCAACCCACGUCUUUAGUUGCCAGCAUUUAGUUGGGCACUCUAGAGAGACUGCCGGUGAUAAACCGGAGGAAGGUGUGGAUGACGUCAAGUCAUCAUGCCCCUUACAUCCUGGGCUACACACGUACUACAAUGCUACGGACAAAGGGCAGCAAGUUCGCGAGGACAAGCAAAUCCCAUAAACCGUGGCUCAGUUCAGAUCGUAGGCUGCAACUCGCCUACGUGAAGGCGGAAUCGCUAGUAAUCGCAGGUCAGCAUACUGCGGUGAAUACGUUCCCGGGCCUU